GGUGGCUCAGUGCUAGAGUGCUUGCCUCGCAUGCAUGAAGCCCUGGGUUCGAUUCCUCAGCACCA
rnacentral:tRNA from 1 species